rnacentral:RNase_P_RNA from 1 species
UUGGCGGGCUAGAUGGUCGCUGCUGGCCCAGCCAGGAGAGGAAAGUCCGGGCUUCGCAGAGCAGAGCGGUCGGUAACGCCGACCAAUCGCAAGAUUAGGGAAAGUGCCGCAGAAAGCAAACCGCCGAACGGACUGCGCCGCAGUUGCGUGGUAAGGGUGAAACGGUGAGGUAAGAGCUCACCAGCAGGCGAGGUGACUCGUUUGGCUCGGUAAACCCCACUCGGAGCAAGACCAAACAGGGGGGAGCGGUCGGC